rnacentral:rRNA from 1 species
UGGCUCAGGACGAACGCUGGCGGCGUGCUUAACACAUGCAAGUCGAACGAUGAACCACCUUCGGGUGGGGAUUAGUGGCGAACGGGUGAGUAACACGUGGGCAAUCUGCCCUGCACUCUGGGACAAGCCCUGGAAACGGGGUCUAAUACCGGAUACUGAACCGCUUGGGCAUCCAGGCGGUUCGAAAGCUCCGGCGGUGCAGGAUGAGCCCGCGGCCUAUCAGCUUGUUGGUGAGGUAACGGCUCACCAAGGCGACGACGGGUAGCCGGCCUGAGAGGGCGACCGGCCACACUGGGACUGAGACACGGCCCAGACUCCUACGGGAGGCAGCAGUGGGGAA